rnacentral:rRNA from 1 species
AGAGUUUGAUCCUGGCUCAGGAUGAUCGCUAGCGGCAGGCUUAACACAUGCAAGUCGAGGGGCAGCGGGGAGGAAGCUUGCUUUCUCCGCCGGCGACCGGCGCACGGGUGAGUAACACGUAUGCAACCUGCCCCUGUCAGGGGGACAACCCGCCGAAAGGCGGGCUAAACCCGCGUACAUGCCACCGGGGCAUCCCGGAGGCAGGAAAGGCUUCGGCCGGACAGGGAUGGGCAUGCGGCGCAUUAGGCAGUAGGCGGGGUAACGGCCCACCUAACCGACGAUGCGUAGGGGUUCUGAGAGGAAGGUCCCCCACACUGGUACUGAGACACGGACCAGACUCCUACGGGAGGCAGCAGUGAGGAAUAUUGGUCAAUGGUCGGGAGACUGAACCAGCCAAGCCGCGUGAGGGAGGAAGGUACAGAGUAUCGUAAACCUCUUUUGUCAGGGAACAAAGGCGGGGACGUGUCCCCGGAUGAGUGUACCUGAAGAAAAAGCAUCGGCUAACUCCGUGCCAGCAGCCGCGGUAAUACGGAGGAUGCGAGCGUUAUCCGGAUUUAUUGGGUUUAAAGGGUGCGCAGGCGGUCUGUUAAGUCAGCGGUCAAAGCCCGGGGCUCAACCCCGGCCCGCCGUUGAAACUGGCAGUCUCGAGUUGGAGAGAAGUAUGCGGAAUGCGCGGUGUAGCGGUGAAAUGCAUAGAUAUCGCGCAGAACUCCGAUUGCGAAGGCAGCAUGCCGGCUCCACACUGACGCUGAGGCACGAAAGCGUGGGUAUCGAACAGGAUUAGAUACCCUGGUAGUCCACGCAGUAAACGAUGAAUGCUGGCUGUCCGGGGGGACUGACCCCUGGGUGGCGAAGCGAAAGCGAUAAGCAUUCCACCUGGGGAGUACGCCGGCAACGGUGAAACUCAAAGGAAUUGACGGGGGCCCGCACAAGCGGAGGAACAUGUGGUUUAAUUCGAUGAUACGCGAGGAACCUUACCCGGGCUCAAACGGGGAGUGGCGCAGGCAGAGACGCCUGUUUCCCACGGGACACUCCCCGAGGUGCUGCAUGGUUGUCGUCAGCUCGUGCCGUGAGGUGUCGGCUUAAGUGCCAUAACGAGCGCAACCCCCGCGUGCAGUUGCUAACAGUCAACGCUGAGGACUCUGCACGGACUGCCGGCGCAAGCCGCGAGGAAGGCGGGGAUGACGUCAAAUCAGCACGGCCCUUACGUCCGGGGCGACACACGUGUUACAAUGGGUGGUACAGCGGGAAGCCAGGCGGCGACGCCGAGCGGAACCCGAAAUCCACUCUCAGUUCGGAUCGGAGUCUGCAACCCGACUCCGUGAAGCUGGAUUCGCUAGUAAUCGCGCAUCAGCCAUGGCGCGGUGAAUACGUUCCCGGGCCUUGCACACACCGCCCGUCAAG